rnacentral:rRNA from 1 species
UGGGUAACCUACCCAUCAGAGGGGGAUAACACUUGGAAACAGGUGCUAAUACCGCAUAACAGUUUAUGCCGCAUGGCAUAAGAGUGAAAGGCGCUUUCGGGUGUCGCUGAUGGAUGGACCCGCGGUGCAUUAGCUAGUUGGUGAGGUAACGGCUCACCAAGGCCACGAUGCAUAGCCGACCUGAGAGGGUGAUCGGCCACACUGGGACUGAGACACGGCCCAGACUCCUACGGGAGGCAGCAG